UACGGGGGAUGUAAGCGUUAUCCGGAAUUAUUGGGCGUAAAGCGCCUGUAGGUUGUUUAUAAAGUCUGUUGUUAAAGAUUAGGGCUUAACCCUGAAAAAGCAAUGGAAACUCAUAGACUAGAGUAUAGCAGGGGUAGAGGGAAUUUCUAGUGUAGUGGUGAAAUGCGUAGAUAUUAGAAAGAACACCGGUGGCGAAAGCGCUCUACUGGACUAUUACUGACACUCAGAGGCGAAAGCUAGGGGAGCAAAAGGGAUUAGAUACCCCUGUAGUCCUAGCCGUAAACGAUGGAUACUAGAUGUUGUGCUAAAUGUACAGUACCGUAGCUAACGCGUUAAGUAUCCCGCCUGGGGAGUACGCUCGCAAGAGUU
rnacentral:rRNA from 1 species